UCCCACUCUUUCUCUUCUACUCUUCUGGUUUCUCUUCGUUUCGUCUUCGUCUUCGUCCUUAAACCUUUCUCAAAUCAAAAUUAUCAUAUUCUUCGUCUUCGUCUUCAAACCUUUCUCAAAUCAAAAUUAUCAUAUUCUUUUCAAUGAUUUUCGUUGAAGCCAUCAAAUCCGCUGAGAUGCCGAAACACCUAUUUAGAUUGGUUUGUACUGUUUAUUUAGUUAUUUUAUGGAUGAAGUCAAAUUGGUUUUUUUGUUUUUUUUUUUUUUUUCGGUUAACGGAGAAAUUAAAUUGGGGUUUUUAUGAAUGAAGUUAAAUCAGGGUUCUUUGGGUGUUUUUUUUUUUUUUUUGGUGGAAGACAUCAAAUUGGGUUUUAAUGGAUGAAGUCAAAUCGGGGUUUUUAGGGUUUUUUUUAUGGAUUUAAUCAAAUUGUGGUUUUAUGGAUGAAGUCAAAUCGGGAUUUUUAGGGUUUUUUUUUAUGGAUUUAAUCAAAUUGUGGUUUUAUGGAUGAAGUCAAAUCGGGGUUUUUAGGGUUUUUUUAUGCACGAAAUCAAAUUGAGAUUCGUAAGGCUUUGUUUAUGGAUGAAAUCAAAUCGGUUGGAAAUGUAAAAAAAGGGAGUUUUAUUUCCUAAAACGAACAUACGAAGCUGAUGUGGCAGUACGUACUGUUGCAAAGAACCAUCAAGGACUGAUCUUAUUUAUUUGUAAGGCAAGGCAUGAGAUUCUCUCCUGCAAUCUGCUCUCAAAACUGAACCUAUGAUCUGGAUUACAGAUUGUGCACAAAAGAGAUGUAUUUUGCUCUCAAAUAACAGUUAAGCUAAUGCUUCUUGGUUAAUAAGUACAUUUUCAAGAUCUAUGAGUCAGGUUGGAUUGGCUAACAAUAGAAUACAAGGUUAAACCACUUGCACCACAUCGGGAUGUAGCAGUAUAUUAACCUCUGUUUACCAACUUACUUAGACGAUCCAGUAAAGGAGGGAGACUCAACUCCAGAAACAAUGGAUCGCAUAUAUAAAAAGAUAACGAGAGCAGAGUCUGUCCUUAGCUUUGGUUAUGAAUGUUAAUGGAAAAAGCUUCUUCAGUUACUUGUCCAAGGAGAGAAGGGGUUUGUGGUUUGCUGUGUAAAUUAAUGUAAACUCUUUGACUAUAAUGCUUUUGGAUCUGAUUGUAUGUAUAGCUAUAAACGAUGAAGUGAAUAUAAAAGUGGAUACUAUUUUUGUUGGGAGAAGAGACCACUGGGGGAUUGCUCCAGGGCUCUUCCUCCUGUGUGUUGUGUGUGUAGGUGGUGGGUUACUUUCUUUCUCUCAUUUCUUUUCCUCUCAACAUCCCGCCUUCAA